rnacentral:tRNA from 1 species
UGGCCCGUUGGUCAAGUGGUUAAGACACCGCCCUUUCACGGCGGUAACACGGGUUCGAAUCCCGUACGGGUCAUCUU